rnacentral:misc_RNA from 1 species
UGUGGACACGUUCUUCUUUGUCGGCCCUUCUCCCAAGGAUGUAGUGAAACAAUAUGCAGCGGUCACCGGAACCACAGCCAUGCCGCAGGAGUUUGCCACCGGUUACCACCAGUGCCGCUGGAACUACCGGGAUGAGGAGGAUGUUGCGGCGGUCGAUGCUGGAUUCGAUGAGCAUGAUAUCCCAUACGAUGUUCUCUGGCUUGAUAUUGAGCACACUGAUGGAAAGCGGUACUUCACUUGGGACCACAUGUUGUUUCCGAACCCGAAGGAGAUGCAGG